CGUGUGUGAGAGGUCGCGCAGAGUGUGAACAUGGCUACGCCUCUUCAUUCCCGUCCAUGCCGAGCCCCCGACUGCAGCAUUCAAAGCCCCCACGGAGGUUGAGCCGGGCACAGAAACACAGCAGCGGGAGCAGCAACACCAGCACUGCCAACAGAUCUACACACAAUGAGCUGGAAAAGAAUCGCUUGAAGAAUUGGUUGGUUGGGAGAAGGGAUACCAGAGGCAUAAAGAUGCUUUUGAAGGCUAUUGCAGUAAUCUAGACGAGCUCAUCUGCGCCUUUGUUUAGAACGCUUAAAAGUUCUGAUUCCACUAGGACCAGACUGCACCCGGCACACAACACUUGGUUUGCUCAACAAAGCCAAAGCACACAUCAAGAAACUUGAAGAAGCUGAAAGAAAAAGCCAGCACCAGCUCGAGAAUUUGGAACGAGAACAGAGAUUUUUAAAGUGGCGACUGGAACAGCUGCAGGGUCCUCAGGAGAUGGAACGAAUACGAAUGGACAGCAUUGGAUCAACUAUUUCUUCAGAUCGUUCUGAUUCAGAGCGAGAGGAGAUUGAAGUGGAUGUUGAAAGCACAGAGUUCUCCCAUGGAGAAGUGGACAAUAUAAGUACCACCAGCAUCAGUGACAUUGAUGACCACAGCAGCCUGCCGAGUAUUGGGAGUGACGAGGGUUACUCCAGUGCCAGUGUCAAACUUUCAUUCACUUCAUAGAACCCAGCAUGACAUAACAGUGCAGGGCAAAAUAUUCACUGGGCCAAUUCAAUACAAACAAUCUCUUAAAUUGGGUUCAUGAUGCAGUCUCCUCUUUAAAACAAAACAAAACAAAACUAUAC
rnacentral:sRNA from 1 species